rnacentral:misc_RNA from 1 species
CCUAGCCGACACAAAGCUGGCAAGCACGCCAUACCGUAUACAAGUGCGCACCGAUACUGCACGUGGAGGGUGCGAAACCCGAUACCCUUUCUUGUCCUGUGCAAUCGCCCCGCUUGCCUGUGUGUCUCUCUCCCUCCUUUUGUGAUAUCACUAGCACGAACAACCCACAACGCGCCAUCACGAUGGAGCAGUUCGACUCGGUCAAGACUAUGAUCGACAACCUCCGCUCCGAGGACCCGGAGGCGCGCCUGAGCAGCAUGCGCGGCAUCCACCUCAUCAGCACCACGCUGGGCCCCGAGCGUACCCGUGACGAACUCCUCUUGUACCUCACGGACUACCUCGACGACAACGACGAAGUGCUGCGCGUGUUCGCGAACGCGCUGGGGACGAUGCUACCGGAGGUGGGAGGCGUAGAGUACACCGGCAGUCUUCUGGCUCCACUGGAGAUCCUGGGUAGCCUGGACGAGGUCACCGUACGCGACGAGGCUGUCGCAUCCCUCCAGCUCAUUGGCAGCCAACUCUUCUCGCCGGGCAGCACCACGGGCAGCAGCAGUGCGUCUUCCGCCGACAACAAGCGCAAGGACUCGAAUGCGAAGGCACAAGGUGAAUUCAUAGGCAUGGUCCGCCGCCUCGGCGAAGGGAUGCCGCAGUGUCGCAGCACCGCCUGCUCGCUCAUCUCGACCGUCUACCCCUGCGUCGACGCCAGCACGCGCGCCGACUUGAUGAAGCUUUUCCAGAAGCUGUGCGAGGACGACGAAAUCCUCGUUCGGCGCGCCGCAUGCAUUGCCAUGGGCAAACACCUCGCCGGCGUACUUGGUUCGAAGGGGUGCUCGGAGCUGGUGCCGGUGCUGAACGCGUUUGCAAAAGACGAAAGCGACGGCGUGCGCCUGCAGGCGGUGGCGACGUGCGCGUCCCUGCUGCAGGUGCUCCCUGAGACGCAGCACUCAGCUAUCCUGUUAGCAGUUCGCUCUCUCUCGUCGGACAGCUCGUGGCGCGUUCGUUACAUGACGGCAGACUCGUUAGGCAACCUCGCGGCUGCUCUCUCGCCACCGGACGUCGUGAAGUAUGCUGUGCCGGUGUUUCGCUCCUUGUGCCAGGACUCAGAGCCGGAGAUCCGUGCGUCGGCGGUGUUCAACAUGGCGAACGUGCUUGCCGCUUGCCGAGACGCGACCGGCAAGAAGGACAUCCUCGUGACCGGUACUCGACUUGUCUCUGAUGACGUCAGCCACGUCCGCAUGAGCCUCGCGAGCGCCGUUCUGAAGUCCGUCGCGCACGUGGCAAAAGAUCUCUGGGGCACUACCAUCGUCCCAGCGUGCACCGCACUGCUGCGGGACGCGGAGGCGGAUGUGCGACUGGCACUCGUGUCCGGUUUUAGUUCCAUGGGCAACACCCCGGAGGCGAAGGAGCUGGCGCCAAGCCUGGUCCCUGUUGUCAUCAGCCUCGCUGCGGAUUCAAAAUGGCGUGUGCGGGAGGUGGUUGUCGCACAGGUGCCCUACGUGAUCACCUCGCUGGGGCGGAGCGCAGAGCAGGUGCUGCAGGUAUGUGUCAACCGUCUGACCGACCGCGUCGCCGCCAUCCGUGACGCCGCAGUGCAGUCGUGCUGCAAGCUGGUGGCCGAGCACGGGAGUGGCUGGGCCGCCUCGACGCUCCUGCCACAGGUACAGACUCUUGUGACGGACUCCAACUACCUCCAUCGAGUCGCGCUCUGCCAUCUGUACGCGGCCCUUGCGAACGUCGCCGCUUUCGACGCGGCUACAUGUGAGUCGGCGCUGUGGCCGCAGCUUGUCAUACUGCACAAGGAUGCCGUGCCAAAUGUGCGUCUGAACGUGGCCAAGGCGAUCAUGGCGCUCAGCCGCGCUGACAAGAUCCCCUCGCGAGUAGCAAAGCCGGUGCUGAGGGCCCUCAGUGAAGACGCUGAGGUGGACGUGUGCGACGCGGCGGUAGCGGCGCCGGGGCUGAAGUCCUCCAUGUCGAAGAAGUAGAAACCUAGCAAGCAGCGAGGCGGUCAUAGAGGGAGAUGAGAACACCGCAUACAAGUGGAGAGAGUUGUGCAGUGGAAGGGGAGGAGAAAGCAGAAGGAGCGCGCUGCGACGGCAGCCGACAUUGCCGGUGCUUGCGUCCCUCGCCCCCACCCUCCCUCUCUGUGUGGUGCUGCUGUUUAAGAGUAUAUAAAAAAACAC